rnacentral:tRNA from 1 species
UGAGGUAAAAUAGAGUUGCUAACUCUUUAAAGAAUAAUUCUACCUCUU